rnacentral:tmRNA from 1 species
GGGGCCGACUAGGUUUCGACGGGAUUAUUUGGACAUGAGUGGCAAGUAGAUGGCAAUCUAUAAAUGCGAAAAAAAAUAAAUGCAAAUAAAGUAAAAAAUGUACUAGCUAACGUGUUUGGUGGAAACCAAGCUGUUGCUUUUGCCUAAUUUAGAAUAAAUGGCGUACGCUCUUUUAACUUUUUCUCGUGAAAGUUAAUAAGGGUUCAUUUUAGCGAGAUAUAUCAUUGUUUUGUUUAGGGAUAAUGAUGAACAUUACUAAACUUGCUAUGUGGUAAUUCGUUAACUAAUUUUCCAUAUAGUGAAAUUUACUAGUUAACUAAACUUGUAGAGGCUUAUGAGUCAUUGAUUUCGGACGGGAGUUCGAUUCUCCCCGGCUCCACCA